CAGUCUCCAUCUGCUGCUUUCAGAAUCCUUGUUAUCUCUUUCAAUUGACUGAUCACCGAACCAUUCAAUGCUCCACCGAGCACUUCCUUGAGUUGCAGUAUGAGGGUGGACAAAAUAAACAACGAAUUUAGUAGACAACUCUAACAUCAUUGCCUUCAAAUUCACAGAAACAAAAACUGAUUCUACCUGCUGUAACGAGCCAGUUUCUACGAAAAUAACGUCCAAUGAUCCACCAAAAGGCGAUUUGAUUUGCUCUCUGAAAUUUCCAGAACCUUUCUUCGUAGUGUACC
rnacentral:lncRNA from 1 species